rnacentral:rRNA from 1 species
GACGAAGGGGGCUAGCGUUGUUCGGAAUUACUGGGCGUAAAGCGCGUGUAGGCGGUUGUUCAAGUCAGGUGUGAAAGCCUUGAGCUCAACUCAAGAAAUGCACUUGAUACUGGAUGACUAGAGGACCGGAGAGGAUAGUGGAAUUCCCAGUGUAGAGGUGAAAUCGUAGAUAUUGGGAAGAACACCGGUGGCGAAGGCGGCUCACUGGGACCGAGACUGAC